rnacentral:rRNA from 1 species
GUGCACCAGGCGCGAAACUUCUGCAAUGCGCGAAAGCGCGACAGAGUCACCCCGAGUGCCAUCCGCUGAGGAUGGCUUUUGCCCUAUGUAAAAAGUAGGGCGAAUAAGCGGGGGGCAAGUUCUGGUGUCAGCCGCCGCGGUAAUACCAGCCCCGCGAGUGGACACGACGAUUAUUGAGCCCUAAAGCGUCCGUAGCCGGUUCUGCAAGUC